GGUAGUGUGGCCGAGGGGUUCAAGGCGCUGGAUUAAGGCUCCAGUCUCUGGGAGCAGCGGGUUCAAAUCCCACCACUGCCA
rnacentral:tRNA from 1 species